rnacentral:lncRNA from 1 species
CGGGAAUCCUCACAGGAGGCUCAAAGCUGUGAAGACCAUGCCAGUUCCAGGCCGCAGCAUGGCUGCCGUGGGGAUCUAGCCAUAACAUCUCCUGGGAUGAAUCUAUCUUCAAGAGGAAAGAAAAAAAGACUCCUGAAUCUCGAGUUCAUCCUCCAGCCAGUCUGUGCCAGCCUCCGCUGCCCUUCUCAAGCAGAAGAGCUCUAUGAACUGAGUGAGGUCGCCGGUGCGGAGAACGCCUUACAGCUGCAGCCUGCUGAACACUUCUUAAAGAAAGUUUCCACAGAGCGAGUCGUUUCACAAGGAUGGCUUCAGUUACUACCUUUUUUCCUUUCUUUUUUUGUUUCCGGGUGAAAACAUCGAAGCUGAGAGUGGUUUCUCAGGCCCAGGUCUCACAAAUAGGAGUUGUCCUUGAUUCCAC